GGGGUUGACUGGAUUUGACAGCGGGCCGAGAUGGUGUGUAAGCAUGCAGUGCGUUGCUUGGUUAGCACUUAAAUAUCAAUCAUGCAAAGAAUUAAUUGGCGAAAACAAUUACGCUCUCGCUGCUUAAUCGAAGUAUAGUAGAUAAGCUUUAUUUCGGCACAAGGUGCUGAAACGAGACAUCACCCGAACGCUGUUUUUCCGAAGCUCGUCGAUAUGGUGGUGCAGCAAAAUCGGAGAUAGCUGUUGACGGCCUCGCGCCAUAGGCGAAGAUUUAGAGGAUAAGGUGCAAGUUGGUGGCUUUGGUCUUGCUUGCGCACGAAAACCGAAGGCAAAGAUAAGCAUGUAGAAAGCACAUGAUUUCCUCGUUUGGACGAGGGUUCGAUUCCCUCCAGCUCCAC
rnacentral:tmRNA from 1 species